rnacentral:rRNA from 1 species
CCUACGGGGUGCAGCAGUGAGGAAUAUUGGUCAAUGGGCGCGAGCCUGAACCAGCCAAGUCGCGUGAGGGAAGACGGUCCUAUGGAUUGUAAACCUCUUUUGUCGGGGAGCAAAAGACGCCACGUGUGGCGUUCCGAGAGUACCCGAAGAAAAAGCAUCGGCUAACUCCGUGCCAGCAGCCGCGGUAAUACGGAGGAUGCGAGCGUUAUCCGGAUUUAUUGGGUUUAAAGGGUGCGCAGGCGGAAGAUCAAGUCAGCGGUAAAAGUGAGAGGCUCAACCUCUUCGAGCCGUUGAAACUGGUUUUCUUGAGUGAGCGAGAAGUAUGCGGAAUGCGUGGUGGAGCGGUGAAAUGCAUAGAUAUCACGCAGAACUCCGAUUGCGAAGGCAGCAUACCGGCGCUCAACUGACGCUCAUGCACGAAAGUGUGGGUAUCGAACAGGAUUAGAUACCCCUGUAGUC